AACGUAGGAGACAAACGUUAUCCGGAGUUACUGGGCGUAAAGGGCGUGUAGGUGGUUCUGUAAGUCUGGCGUGAAAUUUCUCGGCUUAACCGAGGCAGGUCGUCGGAUACUGCAGGGCUAGAGGACGGUAGAGGCGUGUGGAAUUCCGGGUGUAGCGGUGGAAUGCGUAGAUAUCGGGAGGAACACCAGUGGCGAAGGCGACUACCUGGCCUGUUCUUGACGCUGAGGCGCGAAAGCUAAGGGGAGCAAACGGGG
rnacentral:rRNA from 1 species